rnacentral:pre_miRNA from 1 species
UUUCUACUCCCUCUGUUCGAAAUUACUUGUCAAAGAAAUGGAUGUAUCUAGAUGUAUUUUAGUUCUAAAUACAUUCAUUUCCGAGACAAGUAAUUCCGAACAAAGGGAGUACCUC